CUGCUUUCCUGAAUUAACACCAAAGGAUAAUGAAGAUAUACAUUGCCCUGCAGUACAUCAUGCACCUUGAAAAAGUUUAUUGACUCCUGCUCUCGACCUGGAUGACUGCAUAAUUAUAGAUGUUUUCCCUUCAUGCCUAGAUACUCAACAAAUCUGCCUGGAAAUAAGAGAA